rnacentral:rRNA from 1 species
AGCAGCCGCCACGGGAACACGUAGGUGGCAAGCGUUGUCCGGAAUUAUUGGGCGUAAAGCGCGCGCAGGCGGAUCAGUCAGUCUGUCUUAAAAGUUCGGGGCUUAACCCCGUGAUGGGAUGGAAACUGCUGAUCUAGAGUAUCGGAGAGGAAAGUGGAACUCCUAGUGUAGUGGUGAAGUGCGUAGAUAUUAGGAAGAACACCAGUGGCGAAGGCGACUUUCUGGACGAAAACUGACGCUGAGGCGCGAAAGCCAGGGGAGCGAACGGGAUUAGAUACCCCCGUAGUCCCUGUCUCUUAUACA